rnacentral:misc_RNA from 1 species
AAGUCGUAACAAGGUUUCCGUAGGUGAACCUGCGGAAGGAUCAUUAACACGUAUCCAACGUAAAAACAACCCUGUGAACCUUCAAACGUGAUCGCCUAGCAAUCCCUGGUAAAUCAUUGUUGACCAGCUAUUGAGUCAGGGACCUCUAGGCCAGCAAUCGUUUACUGCGCCAUCCUUGCGCAACCACUGACAGAUUGCUAGGAUGCCAGGCCGCUUUAUCCGAUGAUCCAUAGCAGGCCCACACGGCCGGCGACCGGGCCUCUGUGCCUUGUGCACCUAAUGACCCCAAUGUUUCUGACCCGGUGCGCUGUAACAACCGCACCACAAACUCGAACAACUGUUAACAAUGGAUAUCUUGGUUCUC